rnacentral:rRNA from 1 species
UAAUACGGAGGGUGCGAGCGUUGUCCGGAAUCACUGGGCGUAAAGGGCGCGUAGGUGGCGUCGCAAGUCAACGGUGAAAGCUCGACGCUCAACGUCGAGUCGGCCGUCGAUACUGCGAGGCUGGAGCACUGUAGAGGCAGAUGGAAUUCCGGGUGUAGCGGUGGAAUGCGUAGAGAUCCGGAAGAACACCGGUGGCGAAGGCGGUCUGCUGGGCAGUUGCUGACACUGAGGCGCGACAGCGUGGGGAGCAAACAGGAUUAGAUACCCUGGUAGUCCACGCCGUAAACGAUGGGCACUAGGUGCUUGGGGGAGCGACCCCCUGAGUGCCGACGCUAACGCAUUAAGUGCCCCGCCUGGGGAGUACGGCCGCAAGGCU